UACGGGGGGAGCAAGCGUUGUUCGGAUUUACUGGGCGUAAAGGGCGCGUAGGCGGCGCGACAAGUCACUUGUGAAAUCUCUGGGCUCAACCCAGAACGGUCAAGUGAUACUGUCGUGCUAGAGUGCGGAAGGGGCAACUGGAAUUCUUGGUGUAGCGGUGAAAUGCGUAGAUAUCAAGAGGAACACCUGCGGCGAAGGCGGGUUGCUGGGCCGACACUGACGCUGAGGAGCGAAAGCCAGGGGAGCAAACGGG
rnacentral:rRNA from 1 species